rnacentral:rRNA from 1 species
CUUGAAACAAGAGUGACGGGCGAUUUGUGCAUAUUUUAUUCCUUAUUCAAGUUUUAAUUUCUUUUCCACUUUUACUUUCAAGUCCUUUUUCCUUUUAUUGAAUUAAAAUUCUAUCCAUAGUUUUUUUUGUAUCCCACUUUUUUCUUUAAAAUAAACCCUGUAUUGAUUUGUCUUACGAUCUUCCAUUUCUCAACUCAUCCUUUAAAAUGAAUUUUCAGACAAUGAUAUAGGGGUUUAAAUAUAAAGCUCUUUUUUAUCGUGGGUUGUCUAUCAAAGAGCAGGAUCCCCUGCUUAGUUAAAAUACCGCCAUAUCUCGCAUAGUUUUUUCUUUUUUAAAUACUCCCAUUUCUUGCUUUAAAA